UGGUCAAACCGUACCCAGCCACGUAUCUGCUAGGGGAGCUGCAAGUUCAUCAGAAGGCUCUCUGUGUUUUUUCAUUGCACCUCUUCCACAGGCUCGCUAGUAUUUUGCGUGAAACGCGCUUGCCACCUUGGACGUCCGCGAGCGCGAGGGGUCGACCAUGGCUCGCGACACAGCCGAGAAGAAGGGCUUCAAGGCCGCCAUGGGCAUGGAAGCCAUGAAGGGAAAGAUGGAAUCUGUGAAGCGCAGCAAGCGAAGCAAGUACACCCCCGCCUCGCAGCACUCCCACGGCAACCCGAUUCAUCGCCCUCUAAAGUUCCACGAGCGCAAGCUCCUCAAGAAACACGACUUCAUGCAGUACCCGCAAGACAACUGGCACGAACCGUUCUGUAUCACAAAGUAUCACCUUGAGGAUCGCGAGGACUACCGCCGCUACAUGCGCCUCGUGGGUCUCAUUCGACAGCUCCAGACUCAGUUGCGCUACCUUCCGGCGGAUAGCAAAAUUCGGAUUCAGAUUACGCAGCAACUGAUGGAGAAACUGUACAAUAUGGGGCUCAUUCAUGAAAAGCUAGGCCUUGCCGAAGUCGAUAAGGUCGGCGUAGAGGCGUUCUGCAAGCGCCGUCUGCCAACGAUUUUGCGCGACCUCAAGAUGGCGGGUAACUGCAAGCUAGGCGCCGAAAUCGUGCAUCACGGCCAUGUCCGCGUCGGCACCACGCAGAUCCGCGAUCCCGCCUUUCUGGUGCCUCGCGGCUUAGAUGACUAUGUGACGUGGAUGCCCGGUAGCAAGAUCCGCCAGCACGUGGACACCUUCAACGCGAUGCGCGAUGAUUACAACUACUGAGAAGAGUUGCCAGCCGUGCGACAGGGUGAAGCGGUGGGGGCGCGCGCGCAGGAUGCAGGCUGCAGCAACGAGGGCGAAAGCAUUGGCAGUUUUUGUUUUGUGGGGGAGGGGAGGGAGCGCUGUCCCAUCCAUGCCGUUCUCCUCGUAUGUGCUUCCCCGCGCUGAUUCCUUUCGAAAUUCGCUGCUCAGUAGUGUGUUGAAAGAAAGGCGGAGGGGGGCGUCGACCGGGCCGAGUGUUGACGGCUCCAGCCGUCUGAAGAUGUGGAUGGCUGUAUGUGUGUGUAUGUGUGUGUGUGUGCGGUCGUUUGCGGGCUGGAGACCUACAAUCUCUCUCUCGCCUCGACUUUACGUUUAAGAAGAUGCGCCGCGUUCGUGCGCCCGCGUGUGUGAUUCUCCACCAUGAACAGUGCUCUCUCCUUCGCGGAGCGGCACUCUUGCCUGGCGCCGUAGAGGCGCGUGCAUGUGUGUCAGUGGGUGGCAGCCUUCGCGGGUGCAACGUGUGAAGACUCUCGUGAGCGAAAAAUAAACCCAGGGAAAACAGAUUAGCGAUGAGAGCGCCGCAACUCUUAGCUGAGGCGACGAGGUGUCUGAUUAAUGGUGUGUGUGUGUGUGGAUGAGAUCACACAGCAGCCACUUGUGGCGCAGCGCAUGCGGCUGAUUCACAAUCAGAUGAUCUUUCUCCUUAUUACUUCCCGUGCUUCUUUUACUGCCAAGCUUUCUGAUGCACUUUCGCGAUCGCAUUGACGCGCGCUUGAUGACGGCGGAAUGCUCCUGCUUCUCAGCCACCCCUCGGAGUGCACCUCUUCCUUUUCCUUCCCUUUCAUCUCUGCCACAACAAUCUAAACACCGAUACACGUGUGCGCCCACCCACACCUGCCCCCACACACUCGCUCGCAG
rnacentral:misc_RNA from 1 species